AACGCAGCGAAAUGCGAUAAGUAAUGUGAAUUGCAGAAUUCAGUGAAUCAUCGAAUCUUUGAACGCACCUUGCGCUCCUUGGUAUUCCGAGGAGCAUGCCUGUUUGAGUGUCAUUA
rnacentral:rRNA from 1 species